rnacentral:rRNA from 1 species
GGAGGGUUAGUUUUACCCGCCUGGAAUUAAGCAUAUAAUUAAGCGGAGGAAAAGAAACUAACCAGGAUUGGCAUAGUAACGGCGAGUGAGAUGCCAAAAGCCCAGCCUGAGAAUCGUCACUUGUGUCGAAUUGUGGUUCUUUUUGUUCUGCCAGUGGACCAAGUCCCCUGGAACGGGGCAGCAGAGAGGGUGAGACUCCCGUAAUGCCACAGGUAUGAAAAUUGGCUGUGAGUCGAGUUGUUUGGGAUUGCAGCUCUAAGUGGGUGGUAAAUUCCACCCAAGGCUAAAUACUGGUGGGAGACCGAUAGCGUACAAGUACCGUGAGGGAAAGAUGCAAAGCCGCGCGAAAGCGCUGUCAAAGAGUACCUGAACUUGCUGGAAAGGAAGCGAAUGAAACCAGUGUCUGCCAUCCUGCACUUCUCUUGUUGCUUGCGACUGGGGCGCUGCAGUUGGCCAUGUCCUCCGGAGUAUCUUUGGGGUUGAAAAUCGUUGCACUUUGAGAUUCUCUGCUAGGACGAAAGUGGUUUUCUUCUCCCCGUCUUGAAACACGGACCAAGGAUUUU